UACAGAGGUCUCAAGCGUUGUUCGGAUUCAUUGGGCGUAAAGGGUGCGUAGGCGGCUUGGUAAGUCGGGUGUGAAAUUUCGGAGCUUAACUCCGAAACUGCAUUCGAUACUGCUGUGCUUGAGGACUGGAGAGGAGACUGGAAUUUACGGUGUAGCAGUGAAAUGCGUAGAGAUCGUAAGGAAGACCAGUGGCGAAGGCGGGUCUCUGGACAGUUCCUGACACUGAGACACGAAGGCCAGGGGAGCAAACGGG
rnacentral:rRNA from 1 species